AGAAAUUUUCAUGUAAAUUGAUUCACGUAAAUAAAUGGUACUUGUAAUUAUCUUGUUUGUAAAUUAUCUAUUGAAAACUCCGAACUGAGGAAAAAGCGUCAAAACAUAUGAAUAUUCUAAGAUAAAUUAACAAAAUAAAAAUACAAUUUAUUCUAUAGCAUGUGAGAAAACAAGGAUUCAGGAUGUAAAUUAUUUCUAUUGUACAAGACAUUGAUUAUAAGAAGUGUAAAAAAUAUUGAAUUAAGAUACAAGCUGUAAUCAACUUUUUGUGUAAGAGAUUUAUAUAUUUGCGUAGUAUCAUAAAAACAACUUUCAACAAGGUAAUUUAAAAAAUUUACAUAUUCUUUUAGUCAUUUAUCCAUGAAAAUAAAGAGUUUAAUUAUAGAAACGGAGAUAAAAAUAUUAUGCCAUAACAGGAUAUUAUCGUCUACCUACAAAGAAAAUAUGAAUCAAGCCACAAAACUAUACAUUUUUCUACAUAAAAGAUGAUUCUCCUUUCAAUGUCUGACUACAUAACAUCCACAUACGUAUAAAUAAUUAAUGAAUAUUCCAGUCGUUUAAUUUUUUCCCUUUUUUCCGUCUCAUAUGCAUAUUUCGCUUUAACUACACUGAUUGUCGUGCAUGUAUAAAUUACACUCAUUAACUAUUCUUACUAAUAUUUUACUAUGUACGUUUAUACGUAUAGCCUGUAAUAUUGAUUUGAACAAGUCCUUUAAAACGUUGUGCUAAAAAGAUUAACGGAUUAAGGAACAUGAAUUCUUAUAUUUUUCGUUAAUAUCUGUUUACGAAUUUUAAUAAAUAUCCGUCUACUGCUAGAAGUUCGAAAAAAAAUUGCUUCGAAAGAUACAUUGACUCGAGUGUAAUACUAUAAAAUAGCCUUGAUUUUAUUGAAUCCAUUUUAUAUAGCGCUAUAAGUAAACAAUGUAGUGAAGCUAAUGAAAAGCUAACUCCAAAAUGGUAACAGACAGAUAUCACAUGUUAGAUGCAUAAUUAUUUGUUUUUUCAAUAGUUCGGUCAUUAAUAAUGCAUUACAGUAUUAACAUCUAAUAAGAAUUCAAUAGGUAGGAUUCAAUAUGCACCAUCGAUAAAAUUCGUUGCUUACGCUCUAUGUUACAUAUAAAAAUAAAAUGAAAAAUGAUAUACAUUAUUUAAUAUUAAUUUUUCAAAUAUCAUCCUGUGUAGAUUAAAAAAUAAUUUAGACGAUAUAUAAUAACAUAAUUAUCCAAUACCUAUAUAUAUAUAUAUAUAUAUAUGAGCAGAAAAAUAUUUUACGACACAAGAAAAAGACCAUUUAUUUGAUAUAUGUAAUUGCUACAUCUUAUUUUUCAGUAAAUUAUCUCAUUAUAUCGUUAUAUUUUGCAAUCUUAUAUCAGCAACGCACAGUGUGUGUAGUGAUUUACCCUUGCUAUUACUAUUUUAGUCGGGUUUUAUUAAUGAAGUUUAAUAAGGACACGACAAUUUUUCAAAAUUAAUUAAUGAAAAUAUCGUCGAAAUUGAAUUUUUUAAAACGAUAUUUUAUUAUCGGACUACCUUUAAAUGCACUGUGACAAAAGCCAUAUGCCUUUUCUUGUCAUAAAUAUCUCGCUGGAUAAUUGCGAAUACAAACUUCAUUUCACCGCUUCGAAAUAAAAAUGAACUCUUGAAUUUUUACAUGUUUUCGUUAUCAAAAUGAUCUCGUUAUUUAAAAGCAUAACAUCUUAUUAAUAUAUACAAGUUUGCUUUUAUCCAGUUAAAUUUUUUUGUAGAAUGUUUAUUAUACUCUUUGUAUAAUAUUCCCUUGUUCAAUUAAUAUGAUAUCGUGUCGUAAUAGAAUAAGAUUGGCACGUGCCCGGUUUCUGUCACUAUUUCACGAGGUCGCGUAUUUCUUAAAUUUCGCUCUGAAACGAAAAAUGACCGCUUUUAUAACGUUAACUAUGAUAGACGAGUUACAAGGAAGCUACGUUACAGUUACUUUAAUUACAGGAAGCAACACAAUUUUUACGAAAGUAGACCUCGGAGUCAACGUUGUUGUACCUCUUGUGAAUCACUUCAAUGUGUUCAAGUUAAUUACAUACCCUUUUUCGUUGGAAGCAAAAGUAUACAACUGUAGAGGAAACAAAAUACAGAAUUAAAACGAAGACAGUCUCUAAAUACAUUAAAAGUACAAAUUUAUAUGUCCAGUUGUGAAAAGUUCGUAUCAACCAAUAGAUAUUAAAUGUAGGAGAGAAAUGAUACAAUUGUUGAAACUAAUUAUAAUCUGAUAGAUGCAAGCAAUAUAUAUGAAAAAGUGUUUGUAAUGGGUAACGUAACAUAAAUAUAACAUUGUACCGGCAAUAUUUCUUCCUAACAUAUUUAAUUACAAAUAAAUAAUUACAAACGAACUUGAAAGUAAUCGACUAUUCAAUUGUUGUAAUGUAAUUGAAUGUAACGUGUAGAUCAUGCUUUUAUAGUGCGAGCUAAGAAACUAUAGUGUUAGAAUGGUCGCAAUCCGUUUGACGCGGUACGUACGAUCAACAACGCAACAAAAUUAAAAUAAUUUUGACAUUAAAAACUGACAAAUAACAUAUACGCGACAGCUUAAAAACUGAGUUCGAUUAUUAUUCAACGAAACUGUUUGGUAGUAUUCUACAUGGUCAUCGGUACAGGUGUAAUGUAACCUCGACUUUAUUUGUAGAUCUCAAAUACUACCUGCUUCCCGGUAAUCUGAGUAAUACCCGGUAACGACUCGCUCAAUUUUACAAACAAAUCUAUAUUUUUCCAUGAAAAAAAAAUUCUUUUUAUAUAACUAUUAUAUUACUAUUACUAUAUGUAUACAUGUACGUUGUACGUAUGUAUGUAUGUAUGUGCGUUGUUUAUGCUAUAUCAUAUUUUUCACGCAGUCUUGUCUUGUUUGAUUUUUGUCUGCGUUAAAUCGUAAAGUCUCCUUCAUCCUAUCUGUAGUAGGAUCGUAUAGAGCACAUUUAAGUAUAAAGGUCUUAAAUCAUCUUGCGUAACUUGUUUUGUAUUCAGAAAGUCUAUAUUAAUAAUACAUGUUUGUCAUAUUCUAUUGAUUAUUCUAAGUAAUAGGUGAAAAGAAGCGAUUCUUCAACGUCUGCUUGAAACUACAUCGAUGGAUCUAUGUUGUCUAUUGCAUAUAACAAGAAUAGCUUCUUAAUCCAAUUUCUAUCGGUAAUGAUGUUAGAAACAGAAUUGUCUUCUUUCUAUGCAGAAAUUACGUAAACAAUAAUAUUUUUACAUUAAUUGAACGAUGUACAUAUAAAAAAUAAAAUUUUAUAUUACAAUGUCGGCAUUAUUUGAUAACUAAAUAUCAUUAUUCCACUGAAUGUUUUAUAUUAAAAGAAUAAAAGAGCAAAGUAAAUUGAUCAAUCCCUAAUUAUGAAUUAAUUGAUCGAUUAAACGAUUAAUCAUUAGUAAUUGGUUCAAUGAUCCUAGAUCAUUAUUUCAAAUGUUUAACUUUAUAUAAAUCAGACAUAAACAAAGUUUAUCGGUUAUAGAAGGACCGACGAUUAAACAAUUUGAUUAAUAUUUAUAAAAACUAAAAGAUAGUCGUUCGGGAAAGCGUCAACUUUGGUUGUUGCAAAUCAAAAUAUUAUCAUUAUGUAUCUCGUGAUUCUACAUAACAUAUAUAUUAAUAGAAAUUUAAGAUACGCAAGUAAAAGAAGAAAGUAUAACACUAUAUUAAAUAAUUAUUCUAUGGCGAUAACGUUACCAUCAGUCGAUAAUUCGCAAAUCGCAGCAACGUUUAACAUAUAUACGUAUUUAGGUUCUAAUUCUUAUUUUGUUAUUAUAGUCCCAUUUUUGUUUCCCACUAUAUUUUAUUUUUAUAACAACUAAUCAUUACAAUACAAUUUACUGCGGAAAUAGAGAUCGAGCCUAUAAAAAUACAAAUUAAUCGAAAAGAUCUGCUGAACAUAAAUUUCUUUUACUAUUAAAAAUUAUAAUUUGCAAAAGUAAAGAACUUGGUUAAACAUUUUUCGAAUUACAUCUAGAGUAGCUUUUUGUUAAUGGAACUUCUGAUAGAUGGCUCCAUGGGCAUCAAGAAUAUAAACGGUAUAUUACGAUUGAAUCGUAACACGUGCGAUGCGUACAAUGCUAAAAUAAAUAGUUUCUGUUAUACAAAUAUAUACGUAAAUAUUAUAUAAAAAUUAGUGAGAGGGCGCUCGAUUUUAAUUCUUUUCAACAAACAGAUAAUCGUAAUCGCGAAAUAACGAAUAGAUUAAAAGACAAGAAGAAAACAUUCUCCCAAGUAAAGAAUCGGUAACGAGGUAUACUUAAUUAACAUAAAUAAUAGCUUUUAUUAACUAAUUGUUAAAUAUAUUAUAUAAAUUGUUUUUGAGUUCAGAGGUGAUACGAAGUUAAUAUUUUUCAUUUGAAACAACACUCUGUUUGAUCGGUUUAAACGAUUAGUUCAAUCGUUAUAUAACAAUUGGUGUUAUGUGUAACAUAGUUUGUACAAACUUUGAUACCAAUAGUGCUAUUAACAGAGUAAAUUAACGCGGCAAACGAAUAACAGGGCAAACAACGAUCGACUAUUUCAAAAACGCUGUUACCUUCAGUCUUAUAGUAUAUAAUAUAUAUAUAUAUAUAUAUUAUCUUAGAAUAAUGUACGUAUAUCCGAAACUUUAUACACGUUUCACAUCUAUUUACUACAUCUAAUACAUGGUUGUUAUUAUUAAGAAAUAUCUACCCGUUAUUUAAAAGAAUCCAUGAUGCUGUAACUAAGCGGUAGAUCUGAAGUCAGACCGUAGUCACUGGUCUGAUUAGCUACCGAUUCGAACUACUUCGGCAAAGUCAGUGCAUGCGCUUCAAGGUUUUCAUAGUGGCUGUCGCAGUGAUUAUAAAGAUCUCGAAAUAGGACAAAAGCUCCGAUCUGUAUUGCACGAAAUGUACGACAAAUGAACUCGUAUUCCUUAAUUUCUUCUAUCUCUAGUCAUUGCCGUCGCGUAUUCAAACGCGUACAACUUCUCCACGUUUCUUCAUCUGCUUCAAAUUUUGGUGAAUUUUAAGGAACCACGCUAUACGAUGGUUAAAAGAUAACGCUUCGUAUUAGACUGUGGCGAAGAUCUCAGCUCGUACAGUUACAGUUUCGAUCGAAACUAUCCGAGUAUCGAUCGUACAACCUGUAACAUCGUGUUACGCUCGGACGUGUGUACACUGUACACGCGCUUCAUUGCACGGGAGCAGGCGACACAGACACGUCCGUGUGAAAAAGUGGUAACUGGUAACAUGUAUACACGCGUAUUACGUGUGCACGCGGAAAAGCUGAAGAUUAAAAAAUAUACAAAGGAGAAGGGAGGUGAUGAAGAAUGGAAGAGUGAGAUGGGGAAGGUUGUGUGUCGUUACGUGCGAAAGUGAGAGACAGAGAAAGAGAAGGAGAAAGAGGAAGAGAAAGAGAACGGGAAAAGGAAAGGGAAAGGGAAAGAGAAAGGGAGAGAGAGGGAAGAAGCGGUCCGCAAGAAGAUUCUUGGAGUCGCGGAUGGUAAAGGUUCGGGCAAGGGUAGGUGGGUGGUUGUGUCGGCGAAGGAGAGCCACAGGAGGACUAGAGGUGAAGAAGGAGGUAGAAGCGAAGGUGGAGGUUGCCGGAGUAGGUGGAUGAGGAUGAAGAGAAGGAUGAAGAAGAGGAAGGGGGAGGGUGGUUUAGGCGAUGGUGGGAGUGGGCCGAGCUAAGACGCGUAAUGACGCCCUGAAUCAAUAUGUGAGGCACUGAGAUAUGCAUACGAACUAAGACAACCGCACACCAACCAGCCACAGCUCCUCUGCUCGGCGUCGCGGCGCGGCGUCCGCGCCGUGGCGCAAAAGGAGGGGAGAAAUUAAAGACGAAGCAGGCACAAAAAUAACGACCCACCGGCAGUACCGUCUUUCCUUCUUUCACCUUCGCUAUUUCCUUUAACGUUCCUUUCUCUCUUCGCUUCUUUCCCCUCUUUCUUCCCUCCUUGCCACUCCCGCCCACUAUCCUCUAUCUUCUUUUCUCUUUCUUUCUGUCCUUUAAACUUUCGCCGCCUCUCUUUCCUCGUCUCAGCUGAGAUUCUCUCCGUCUUUCUUCGUUCUGCUCUCUCGAAGACGUGACUGCACGGCUGAGAUGAGACCAUAGGCAGAGGGAUACGAUGCUGCUAGUCGGUGUCAAGAGAGAGCAAGAGAGUGGCAGAGACGGACAGAAAGACAGAAAGGGAUGGAGGAGGGACGGUGACAGGGGAGGGAAACGAGAGAGGGUUGACGAGUGGAGGAGACGAUCGGUUAGUAGAUCGUUUCGAUCGGGACAAUGGUCCUGGCUCUCGAGUGGAUCCUUGAAACGAUCUUAUCCGUACAGUCUUAAUCCACGUCCCUGCUAUUAUUCGCUUUUCCCGGCACAAAGAAAUACAAAUGCCGUUCCCGUAAUAGCCUGCGAAUGUAUGUAUACAUGCAAACCGAGGGCUCUUGCCGAAGGGAUGGCUUGGUGCCGCGAUUAGACGAGAAUGCAGACAGAAAUGACGUCGUUGUGUAGAUUUUAAUACGAUAAAUGGCUCGCUUCUACUACACGUGUUCAUCUUCCCUUGCAGUUUCGGCAAGCUGAUUUAAUCAAACGAUACAGCUCGUUAGCGAUUUUUCUCUCUUCUAUACAACAUUUUCCAACAUUUCCCUCUUUCCUUUAAUCUCGUUUUAUAUUUCGAUCGAUUCAUAGAUCCGCUAUUCGUCCAUCUAUUCGUUACGCGCCUUCUCCACAAUAUUUACAUCGGUCAUCGUUGAUCCAGCGUCUUCUUUUCUACCGUUGCAUUCAACGUCCUAACAAUCGCCUACGCAUAUACGUAUCUCCGGUUUCGAUAUUUUCUUUGAUUACCAUCGUACUCUUGUAUCUCAUUAGUAGCAUCGCACUGGCAUCAAUCAAUCGGUUCGUAAUAGUUAUUCGUUUCUAAAUUUCAAAUUAAAACGACAAACCGUACGGAAUCACCAUCUUUUUCUUUUACGAACAAACAGAAUUGCGGUUAUACAGGCUUAGACAUUUUUAAUCAGAGCACGUACAUUUCUAUAAUUGCAACACUAUUACCACCCCACCCGUUUGACAUCUAAAUCGAUUUACGUCCUUUACGAAAUUAUACUACGAAGCUACACAACGAUUGCUGCCGCGUAUCGUUUCUCCCUUGUCGUCUACGUUCGUACAGCGAAGAUCUUCCUACGUAUAUGUAUACGAGCAUAUGUAUAGGUAAAUCUCGUGUCAAGGAAAAACGUUAGUUAUUUGUUAGUACGCUAUACAAUGAACCGUUAGACUGUUGAUCAAUUGCCAACGGAGAAAACAGUCGUAAAUAUGUCCUAGAUAUAUUGUACUAUGCAAGUAGGUGGACAGAGAAAGAUAUUGCUCGUGACUCUUACAUACAUCUGUAGACCUCUGUCAAAGUUUUCGCAAUUAAUAUUCCCCUUGUUCCUUCUUUUCGUGCUUCGUAGGAAAGAAUGUUAGCGAAAAGUAGGAAAACAAUUCGUCGAUCGAUUUCCAAGAGACAAGUGUAAUUAUUUAACACUAUCGAGGAAAUGUUAUGCGAAAAAGCGCAUCUAAUUAAAAUCUCAGUGAGCCAUCCGAGUUAGUUUACGUGUUCUUAGGAGAAUAUACGAAAGAUAUCGUUAGAACGUACACGACUGUUUUGGUUGACGCAAGAUAGUUCAGAUACGUAUUAUCAUGCGAUAUAUCGAUAAAUCAAUUUAUCUUCUGACUUAAAUACGAGUCAGAUAAAUUUCGGUUAUUUGCGAUAAUAUAGGUAUACUAUUUUUAGUGAUAUUAGCAUUUAACGAGUCACGGUUCGAGAUAAAUGAUUUAUGUCGUGUUCGUUGUUAAUUUCGGACAAUAUGCUUACAAACAAUAGGAAAAGAGUCGGCGAAGGGAAAGAAGAGAUUUAUGAGUUUCAUUUACAUGUGACCUAAUUCGUCUGAACGUAAUCAAUGACCAAGACAUACAAAUCAGAUUAAAACUCUGAUUUGGUUAACUACACACGAAACAGUAAUAACCCCUCCUAGGUCAAAUUUAAGGCACCGUAAGGGAUCGUAUCGAUCACGAAACCCGAAAGUCAACGAUCGUCGUGUUUCUUUUAAUAUGCGUCACCCUGCAGUACUUCGUAAUCAGGUCGCUAUUGACAAUAUUACAAUUCAAUUUAACGUUGAAAUUUGCUUCGUUCCAUUGUCAAAUCAGUUUCUGUUUUUCGUAAUAAAUUUCAAAUUAACGAAAACCUUCGAUACAUGGUUACUUUCCGAACUUUAGUUGACAAAAGAGUAUUUCAGAAAGAGUAUGUUAGAAAUGUCCCUUUUUUCAAACGAUUUAAGUUUUUAUAAAAAAAUGAAAAGGAUUAGUUUGCUAGAUGAUACCUAAGAAAAGUUUUCGACAAAUGUUGCGGUUGCUCGUGAUCGCCUCUUUUUACAACUACUUUUAUCCGUGUCUGUAAUGAAAAUUUGGACGACACGUUUUGUAGAUCUACGUCAAUCAUAUACGUGUUCUUCGACACUUCUAGCCGAUAACUGCGAUAAAGACCAAAGAUUCUUACAUCUUUCGACGCCAAUUGCGCGUUGCCGUAUAAAUCGAUUUCGAUGAAAUUUUUAGCACGUACAAUACAUAACUGACAAGAGUGUUGUUAACAUUUUCAAUAUACACUCAGAUACGAUACAAAUUUCUUCAAAAUUUUCCUUAGGCGUUAUUUAGUAAACUAAUCCCUUUCGCUUUUCGAUAAAAGCUCAAGUUCGUUCGGUUCAAUUUUAAAAACGUCAUUCCUAUUUCAAGGAGUGUUGAAAUAUUAUUGUGACCAACUGCACGUGAGUGCAUUGCACGUGUUCCAUUAUUGUAACUUACGAUGCCAAAUAUGUCAUCAGUUUGUAGAUAUUUGCUACGAAUUAACUUAGAUUUGGAUAAACCUUUUAGAGGAUAGGAACGUGAUCUAUUGAUCACCGCUACUUCCAGAAUCUCGUAUUUCGCUUAUUCCAAAAAUAUGUUACAAAUUAAAAAACCGACGAAAAAUUUAAUUUUCUAAUCCAUUGUUCGACUUUCCGAUCAUCGGCAUUCUUGUCAAUGAAAUAAGAGCCAGAGAGCGUAACAUCGUUAAAAAAAAUUUCAUCGCAUUCGUGAGUCACAAAAUCGAACAAUUUUAUAACACAGAAUAAAUAUAAAAAUACUGUCUGUCUUUUAUCGAAAAUAAAUUUUAUCGCCAAUUAGGGGAAUUUCAAUUUUUAUACAAACUACAUGUCGAUAACCUAAACUAACAGCGACUGAAAACGACCAACUAGUUUUAUCAAAAGUAUGGACACGCGUAAUUACUCUCGAAUUUUCAUCGCGCUUCGUGUCCACCUGCGGGUCUAAGCGUCUAGUUUAUCGGCGGCGUGGAGGGAUGUCUUGGACGGAUGAUACUCGUCUGCGUCUCGAAGAAACCGAUCCACGAGAUCCGACGAGCGCGGUGAUCAUCGUUGUUGCCAACACGAAGCGUUUAUCUCUAGCGUGUAAUCGAUAUUAAAAGUCUAAAAUGUGUAGCGUGUGUGGCAAGCUGGCCGCGUGUAGGGGUCAUAGCUCGACGUUGGGAGUUGGGUGAACCCCGCGUUACUGGUUGAAAGGGGAGGGUGGUGGAGAACAGGCAGGCGACCAGGGGGUGAGAGGGGGUGGUAAGAGUGGUGAGCAGCGGCGGUGGAGGCGGCAGCAGCGGCGACGGUGGUGGUGGUGGUGGUGGUGGUGGCGGUGAUGGUGGUGAUGGUGGUGGUGGUGGUGGUGGUGGUACGAAGAGGUGGAGGUUCUCAUUAAGCAGCCCGGGCACCGCGCUCUGGGGGUUUAAAUAAGAAGAAGAAGCGUUGCUGUGUGUGUGGAAGAAGGGAGAAAAGGAGAAGAAACCGGUAAGACUAAGGCAGUAAGGGUGAGCAGGCGAGCGAACGCGAGAGGAAGUGGGAAACAGAGAGAGAAGAAAAGGAGAUAGAAAGUGAAGGGGGUCGGGGAAUUAUCAGGGCUCGCGCUCUUCGCGAAGGGUUGGGGGUACCGGCAGGCAAUAUGGCCGCUACUGAUGAGUGAUGCUCGUAACCCUUACUGCCAUCCAUCCCUGACUGAUACGUCAGUCAGUCGGAUCUCUUAACAUACUUGGGAAUUAUGCUCGCCACGACCCUUCUUUAUCUCCAUUCCUACCAUUGUUCUCGUCGAAGGUCCUCCGUAUUCGGUCAAUGUUGCCGUGAACCGCGUAUCAAUUACUUUAAUGAGACGGACCUCCUUCGUGGUUGAUUUUCCAUACUUCUCUUCCUCGCUGAAUUUUCUAAGCGAACCUGGACAUGCAUCGAACCUUCCGGAGUAAAAAGACGAUCAAUUAUAUCGUUGUAUCGUUGUGCAUAGGUUUGUUCGACAAGAUAGAAAAAGAUCUUUCUUUCGAACGAUACGAACGGUGGUAACGAAUAUCUGCAAUUAGGAUUCUCGCGCAACUACUCGAAGUUAUUUCCGUGAUUGCGAAUUACAUUGUACGUAAUCUCGACGCGAUCGAACGAAUUCGCGCUGAUCCAAAUUAUCAGCUUCGAAUUUACGCGAACGUGAAUGUCAAGUUGCGGUUAAGAACGGCAGCAGCGUCGAAUCGCUGUAGAACAGCCCACGGUGGAACCUUUGUUACCAAACGCGUCGGCCAUACGUUUAUAUUAAGGAGAAUUUACAUUGGAAAAAAGGAACGGAUCGUCGUUGUAAAUUGAAAAGUUGUUUCGUGAUUUUGCCAUUUGGGUGGUUACCCAAAGCCGACUGGUUAGUCGGAGCUGCGAAAAUUACAAAGUGACGAGCAACGUCAUAGCCGUUUUCGUAACGAAUCAAACUUGAGUCGCACCAUACAUCCGAUAGAAUUAUCGAUACAAUCUUCAUUUCCCACGGACUAAUCAGAACACUCCCCCAAGGGCAAAUCAUCUUUCCAACGAAAAUAUGAUUAGAACAGAUCAAGGGUGUCCAUGGAAGUUAUAUAAGACACGGAUCGCCCCGGCACCUUUAACGAUCAAGAUCCAAAGCGUAUAGGUAUACAAGCGAGCCCGACGAAAGGUAUUAAGAAGGUACAGGCAGCCCUAACCUAACUGCAGCAGCCCUGGACCGAUCCUCAUCCUCCUUACACCCACACUCCGUGGCCGUCUUACUCCCUGGCCCGAAGUUAAGGGUGGUCUCUUUGUCUCGCCCCUUCACCCUCCUCUUUCCCAUCGUAUGCGUGCUACACGGACGAAAGACACGCGUGUGCGUGAAACCUCGCAAGACGGACAACGGGGUUGUUGGGUGGAUGGCUCGAAGGUGUAGGAUGAGAAGAAGGAGGAGGCGAAGGAGAGAAAGUGAAAGAGGGAGCGAGAGAAGCUGGCACGAGCGAAGGAGAAAGCGAGAGAAAGGGUGAGGAGUGCAAACGGAGGGGAAUGCAAAUUAGAAACGCUUGGGCAGAAAGCAGGAGGAAGAGGGCCAGGGUAGCGUGGGAGGAUAGAGAGGGUGGCACUGGCUGGAUGGGGGUAUAUAAGAGGUGGUGACUGAGGGUGGUGGCCAAGGAACUUCACUUAUGUAAACCGUGUAACGGUGUGCGCGCUCGCUUGCCGCGUGUGUUCACACUGGCACCUACCGGUUUCUCUAUGUAUGUGUACGCGUGUCCCCCAUGCGUGUGUGUAUAUAUCGAUUGCUGGCCAAGCUACCCCGCGGGGUGCCCUCCUUACUACCCCUAUAGUAAUUAUUGUGCUUCUCACAUGUGUGUAUUUGUCGUGAGAUUUCGCGCAAGAUGGUAUGCGUGCGGGCGAGCGCACACACGUUGCAAAAGACCCUGUACACGUAUAUCCGAGUUCCUUACGUGCCUUGUCCGAUGGUUCCUAUAGCGAGCUACGGCAUUUAACGGGUGUCAUCCUAUAAAGCGAACUUCCAUUCGUUACGAACCCGUACGAACAUCCUAUCGUACCCGUCCCGACCAACAGUUCGUUCCGGCAAAAUGUUUUCUACGAGUCGCCGGCACCGUUUCUGCAAAUUCUUACUUACUUCCUCGUUGACCGCGGCUAAUUAGCAGAUUUUCCCAGAACGCACGCACGCCUCUACGAUGCUUUUCUUACAUUUUCUUCGUAAAUACAAUCUUUAUAAAUAUAAACUGUAGUCGUUCGAGUGGAGACAAAACGAGAGUCGCAAUAAGGACUACACGCGAAAUGGAAGCUGCUCCGUAGAUAAGAAUUUACGUAACGAACGCUCGACUUUAACUUUCGUUUUGGCUAACGAUAUCUAUGGGAGAACAGCUGUUCGCGAAGCUUUACGGAAAACACUUUAAAGGAGUGGAAGGCGCGAGACCGAACAUCCAAGAAUAAGAUCGGUUUAUUUUCAUUUCGAAGAAAAGUUGCCAAAGUCGUUCGAAAUCGUUGCACGAUUACACGUUCGAUACCAUCGAUUGUACUAACUUCAGCAACUCGAAUCCUUCUAUAUCGUUCGAUCGUGGAACGGGCACGCUUUAAAAUUCUGCUUUACAUAGGUCGACACGCGAACCUUUAACCGCCUCGUCAGAUGGAAACAAAGUCGCACAAGCGUAACUACGUACUAGUUCUACGCGUAACGCGCAUAGUUGACACUGGGGAACGGUCGUGCGUGGCGUUCGAACGGUCGUGCCACCUGAUAGAUCGAGCCUCGCUGACGCUCUUAUUCGAAAUAAAUGGCAAGACUCGUGCGAUAGUAUGUAAUUCCUCGGCCAGUAUUUCGUUCUUCGCACACACGAUCGCGCGUCCGUGACACCGUAGGUGAAGCCACGUGCGGGUUCACACACAAUUUCACCGGCACGGUAGUGCACACAACUAACGGUCCGAAGUGCAAGAACAUCCCUGCAAGCCACCCUCGACCACCUCGUCCAUCCUCUCCUAGGGCAGUCUUGGAAAGGACCUUCAAGCAAGAGGAUAGGAGAGAAGCGGUUAGGAACGGACGACGCUGCCUGCCUUCGCAGCGGCCGGGCCGCGCUCCUUCGCGCCGCUCCUCGGCCACCCACUCUAUUCAACCGCGAAAAUUCUGCAGGAAUUUUAAUAACUCGGAUUCGUACUGAUUAAAACGGAGGUCGCAUCCGACAUUCCUCCGACCAGCUUACGGUUGCUACUUGGCAGCGGCAGAGUCACGGCGUACAACGAAGGGACGAAUCGAUAAGACAGCAGCGUGCAAACCACGUCCGGAACUGGUCACAUCAAGUUGAACGCUCUACUGUCCAUAAUUCCCCGCAAUUCAGCGUGAGAGGAACUCGCGGUAGGACCAAGCACCUAAAUGAAGCCGUGUGCUUCUAACGACAUGCACUCCGACGAGGAAGGAAAGACGAGAUUCUGUUGGUAAAAGGGAUGCACCACGUACCGUCUGCGUUGCACUGCCACCGACCUCGAGAAUAUUUACUAAUUCCCGUUGCGUAGCGAGAUAACGUUGGAAGGAGAGCGGAGGAGAAGAAGAGUCGGUUGUCGUAGGACGUCGAGCGGACUAGGAAAGAGAUGGCCAACGGUAGGUCCAGAAAACGGCAGAAGCGGAAGAAAAAGGCAAGGAAACGGAGGAAGACGAGAAAGAGGCAGGACAAUGGUGUAGAGAUAGCGCGCGGGAAAGAAGGAGAAAGGCAGUGGUGUACGCAAAACGAGAAAGAAUCGCGGUAAGACAUCUGUAGAGAGAAAGAGCGGACAGAGGAAAACACGGGAAAGAGAAACGAGAUAGAACGAUUUUCCCUCUACUCCGGAGAGGCAACGACUACCAAUUCCCUUAUACCCACCAGCCACCAACCCACCACCCUCGAAAAGAGUAUUUAAAGUGACGUCACGCGGUGCGGGGCGGGGGAGGUGAGGAAGAAGAGGAAGAAGAGGAAGAAGAGGAGGAGGAGGAGGAGGAGGAGAAGGAGGAGGAGGAGGAAGAAGAAGAAGAGGCGGAGGAGAGUCGAGGGGGAAGGGGUUGUUCGGGCAACAGGAAAGAGAGAAAGAGUAAACUGGCGAAAGAGAAAGGGGGAGGACAGGGAGAUGCUUUAAGACGCUCAAUAUAAAUACUAGAGGGGGUUGAGAAAAAGGGUUGCUUCCCUUCGGGCCGACGACGCCGGCCGAAGCGUGUACGCUCAAGAAGAGCGUGAAAGAAAGACAGCGGAGCAAGGACCAUCCAACAGAGAGGGACGGUGUACAUCGUGGAAGAAGAAAGAUGAGAUGAUUGAUCGAACGGAUUCUUCCCUUCGUUGUCCAGCCAUAUCCCCACUAGCGUGAGUUCGUGAGAUGUACCGUGGCGGCUGGCGCGUGCACGCUCUUCCGAGAAUUCGACGGAAGAAGCUUAAGGAUACGGAUGGAACAUUGGGCACGGCAUAGCGCUUUGUAUCGAGAAGCAGCUGGAAGGUUCCGUGGCACGUGACGUCACACAGACAUCUACUCAGGUCACACUCUUUACUGCAUAGAAAGUGGGCUUCAAAACCUUUUCAAGAGCCAUGGGUCACUAAGUCGGUUAGUCUGAGAAUAACUAGCCAACUGUCAACAUUCCAUAACGCUCACUUAUAUUUCCUGUAAUUUUUGUUUAAUAAAUAUCACAUAAUAUUAUUUCAACACAAACAUCGUGUCUUCCACAGAUUAUUAAUCUUAAUUUCGAGAUGAAAUCCUAACAAAUUAAUCAAUACCCGCAGAUAACAUUCCUUCUUAUCGACGCGAAAUUGAUUCGCAGGACACGAGAGUCGUUAUUUCCUCACACGCCGGUCGUCUUUCAUCGUCCGUCACCGACAUCCACGUAAUUUACGUUUAUGUAAAUCGCAUUUUUCAUUUUCACGCGCUUAUGAAAUACCUUAGUUCGACUGUUAAUCGCGCUCCAGUAUUAUCGUACGCUAUGAAAUGGCGAAUGUUACGUUAAUUAUUGUUACGCGAAUUAAUUGUUACAAAUAUCUCGCUUCGUACGAUGAAGGAUAUUAUUCUAUAUUAAGUUCCGUGUUACACUCUGUAGCGCCAAAAGCUUGUACGCGUGAAAGAACCGAUAAAAUCGUUCCAUGCUAUUCAUCUUGUUCUCUUCGGAUAAUCAUAUUACAUCUCGACAUUACGUAUAUUUCAAUGCUACGUAUCGUUAAAUUCUACGCCAAACACCAAAGGCAAAGCGAAUACGAGUUACUGCUUUCGGUUGUGCGUGAAUUUCGAUUCGUUCGCUUCGAAGAACGUUCGAUCGGCUCGUUACAGACGAAGAACAAAAACGCUGGACGAUAAAACUCGCAGCGCAGCGGAAGAGGCGACGGAGGGUACAAAGUGUUACGGGAAACGAUGAAAAACGAUCGUUCACGUGCAAAAUAGUAAAAAGGCAUUUCCGGAAUAGGACGAAUGUCGAAGCACUCUUGGUAAUGCCAAUGGAUUUAGUGGACGUGGGAUUCCAGGAUUGCCUUGACACAAACAACGAAACUGCGAAAGAGAUGUGAAUUGCUGAUGCAUGACACAGACCGCAGUCCACAUCCGGCAUCAUCGACCGUCUCCUGCAAAUUCAGAUCGUCUGCCUUCCCAUCAUCCGUCCAUUAUUAUCAUCCGUACAGUUUUCAAACGACGUUUCGGUCAAGAUGUUUCGAUUUCCCGGCUAUAACGUAACUGCGCCAUCGUUUCAGUCCCAGUUUCUUUAUCGCGAUAUUCUUUAAUUGUAUCGAUUUGUCAUGAAAUAUCGAAAGUGUUCGAAGCAGUUAAUAAGAUCAAAAUUCACGCGUCUGUGCUACGCGUUCAUUGCGAAAGAAGGACUGACACAGGAUUAAUUAUAAAAAGGUUCUAAAUUUCGUGACAUACAAUUUACAUUUACGGAUACAACGAUAGUGAAGUAGCAGUGCUUCUGGUCGUUGGUUCGCCGUUAAUCUCUUAUCGUAAAUCCACCAAAAUACUAGAGUCUAGAGUAGGUAGAUGAAAAACCCGAGACUAACGAAUAUCGGUAAGUGACACAAGAUGACGUAGCUUCGGUGUCAACGUAACGGGGAUACAACCUAUCAAUUUCUACGAGAGAUUAUACGCGAAGAAUAGA